GUGAAUCAUCGAAUCUUUGAACGCAAAUUGCACUCUCUUCGGAGAGUAUGCCUGUUUGAGGGUCAGCCUAAAAAAAAAAAUCGACAUAGUCGCUGUUUCUCGGUUACAUUCUUCUGCAAUUUUGUCAUCUUAAACCUUUGGGUUUUUAGCUGCUUAAAAUUUUCUUUUCUAUUCCCCGAACGUUUCUAAUAUUUACUUCUUAUACUUUUAACGUAUCUAUCUUUAUUACACGUGGCCGUUUCAUCGGAUCUCGG
rnacentral:misc_RNA from 1 species